AGAGUUUGAUCCUGGCUCAGGACGAACGCUGGCGGCGUGCUUAACACAUGCAAGUCGAACGGAAAGGCCCUUCGGGGUACUCGAGUGGCGAACGGGUGAGUAACACGUGGGUGAUCUGCCCUGCACUUUGGGAUAAGCCUGGGAAACUGGGUCUAAUACCGAAUAUGACCAUGCGCCUCCUGGUGUGUGGUGGAAAGCUUUUGCGGUGUGGGAUGGGCCCGCGGCCUAUCAGCUUGUUGGUGGGGUAAUGGCCUACCAAGGCGACGACGGGUAGCCGGCCUGAGAGGGUGACCGGCCACACUGGGACUGAGAUACGGCCCAGACUCCUACGGGAGGCAGCAGUGGGGAAUAUUGCACAAUGGGCGCAGGCCUGAUGCAGCGACGCCGCGUGAGGGAUGACGGCCUUCGGGUUGUAAACCUCUUUCAGCACAGACGAAGCGCAAGUGACGGUAUGUGCAGAAGAAGGACCGGCCAACUACGUGCCAGCAGCCGCGGUAAUACGUAGGGUCCGAGCGUUGUCCGGAAUUACUGGGCGUAAAGAGCUCGUAGGUGGUUUGUCGCGUUGUUCGUGAAAACUCACAGCUUAACUGUGGGCGUGCGGGCGAUACGGGCAGACUUGAGUACUGCAGGGGAGACUGGAAUUCCUGGUGUAGCGGUGGAAUGCGCAGAUAUCAGGAGGAACACCGGUGGCGAAGGCGGGUCUCUGGGCAGUAACUGGCGCUGAGGAGCGAAAGCGUGGGGAGCGAACAGGAUUAGAUACCCUGGUAGUCC
rnacentral:rRNA from 1 species